rnacentral:rRNA from 1 species
AUGCACGCUGGCGGCGUGCCUCAUCCCUGCCAGUCGAGCGAACAGAUGAGGAGCUUGCUCCUCUGACGUUAGCGGCGGACGGGUGAGUAACACGUGGAUAACCUACCUAUACGACUGGGCUAACUUCGGGAAACCGGAGCUAAUACCGGAUAAUAUAUUGAACCGCGUGGUUCAAUAGUGAAAGACGGUUUUGCUGUCACUUAUAGAUGGAUCCGCGCCGCAUUAGCUAGUUGGUAAGGUAACGGCUUACCAAGGCAACGAUGCGUAGCCGACCUGAGAGGGUGAUCGGCCACACUGGAACUGAGACACGGUCCAGACUCCUACGGGAGGCAGCAGUAGGGAAUCUUCCGCAAUGGGCGAAAGCCUGACGGAGCAACGCCGCGUGAGUGAUGAAGGUCUUCGGAUCGUAAAACUCUGUUAUUAGGGAAGAACAAAUGUGUAAGUAACUAUGCACGUCUUGACGGUACCUAAUCAGAAAGCCACGGCUAACUACGUG